rnacentral:rRNA from 1 species
UACGAAGGGGGCUAGCGUUUCUCGGAAUGACUGGGCGUAAAGGGCGCGUAGGCGGACGGCACAGUCAGGCGUGAAAUUCCUGGGCUCAACCUGGGGACUGCGUCUGAGACGUGUUGUCUUGAGUAUGGAAGAGGGUUGUGGAAUUUCCAGUGUAGAGGUGAAAUUCGUAGAUAUUGGAAAGAACACCGGUGGCGAAGGCGGCAACCUGGUCCAUUACUGACGCUGAGGCGCGAAAGCGUGGGGAGCAAACAGG